rnacentral:rRNA from 1 species
UACGUAGGGGGCAAGCGUUGGUCCGGAAUCAUUGGGCGUAAAGAGCUCGUAGGUGGUUCGGUAAGUCGGAUGUGAAAUCUCCAGGCUCAACCUGGAGGGGUCAUUCGAUACUGCCGUGACUAGAGGUCGGUAGGGGAGUGUGGAAUUCCUGGUGGAGCGGUGAAAUGCGCAGAUAUCAGGAGGAACACCCGUAGCGAAGGCGGCACUCUGGGCCGAUACUGACACUGAGGAGCGAAAGCGUGGGGAGCGAACAGG